CAGCCGCCGCGGUAAUACGAAGGGGGCUAGCGUUGUUCGGAAUUACUGGGCGUAAAGCGCACGUAGGCGGAUCGAUCAGUCAGGGGUGAAAUCCCAGGGCUCAACCCUGGAACUGCCUUUGAUACCGUCGAUCUGGAGUAUGGAAGAGGUGAGUGGAAUUCCGAGUGUAGAGGUGAAAUUCGUAGAUAUUCGGAGGAACACCAGUGGCGAAGGCGGCUCACUGGUCCAUUACUGACGCUGAGGUGCGAAAGCGUGGGGAGCAAACAGGAUUAGAUACCCCAGUAGUCCCUGUCUCUUAUAU
rnacentral:rRNA from 1 species